GUGCUCACUUAAGCAGCACAUAUACUAAAAUUGGAACGAUACAGAGAUUAGCAUGGCCCCUGCACACGGAUGACACGCACAUUUGUGAAGCGUGCCAUAUUUUU
ensembl:snRNA U6 U6 spliceosomal RNA